UUGACGGGGCCCGCACAAGCGGUGGAGUAUGUGGUUUAAUUCGACGCAACGCGCAGAACCUUACCUACCCUUGACAUGUCUGGAAUCCCGAAGAGAUUUGGGAGUGCUCGCAAGAGAACCGGAACACAGGUGCUGCAUGGCUGUCGUCAGCUCGUGUCGUGAGAUGUUGGGUUAAGUCCCGCAACGAGCGCAACCCUUGUCAUUAGUUGCUACGAAAGGGCACUCUAAUGAGACUGCCGGUGACAAACCGGAGGAAGGUGGGGAUGACGUCAAGUCCUCAUGGCCCUUAUGGGUAGGGCUUCACACGUCAUACAAUGGUCGGGACAGAGGGUCGCCAACCCGCGAGGGGGAGCCAAUCCCAGAAACCCGAUCGUAGUCCGGAUUGUAGUCUGCAACUCGACUACAUGAAGUCGGAAUCGCUAGUAAUCGCGGAUCAGCAUGUCGCGGUGAAUACGUUCCCGGGUCUU
rnacentral:rRNA from 1 species